GACGAACGCUGGCGGCGUGCUUAACACAUGCAAGUCGAACGGAAAGGCCCUGAUUGCCGGGUACUCGAGUGGCGAACGGGCGAGUAACACGUGGGUGAUCUGCCCUGUACUUUGGGAUAAGCCUGGAAAAAUGGGUCUAAUCCCUGAUAUGACAUUCUACGUAGUGUGGGGGGCGGAGGGACUUCUCGGCGUGGGCUGAGGCAGCGGCCGAUCAGCUUGUUGGUGGGGUAAUGGCCUACCAAGGCCUCGACUGGUAGUCGGCCUGGGAUGGGGGACGGCCACAAUGGUACUGAGGUACGGCCCAGACUCCUACGUGAGGCAGCAGGGGGGAAUAUUGCACAAUGGGCGGGAGCGUGAUGCGACGACGCCGCGUGGGGGAUGACGGCCUGCGGGGUGUGAACCUCUUUCGGCAGAGACGAAGCUGCGGUGACGGUACCUGAAGAAGAAGCACCGGCUAACUACGUG
rnacentral:rRNA from 1 species